rnacentral:rRNA from 1 species
UACGAAGGGGGCUAGCGUUGUUCGGAAUUACUGGGCGUAAAGCGCACGUAGGCGGAUCGAUCAGUCAGGGAUGAAAUCCCAGGGCUCAACCCUGGAACUGCCUUUGAUACUGUCGAUCUGGAGUAUGGAAGAGGUGAGUGGAAUUCCGAGUGUAGAGGUGAAAUUCGUAGAUAUUCGGAGGAACACCAGUGGCGAAGGCGGCUCACUGGUCCAUUACUGACGCUGAGGUGCGAAAGCGUGGGGAGCAAACAGG